rnacentral:rRNA from 1 species
UACAGAGGUCUCAAGCGUGGUUCGGAUUCAUUGGGCGUAAAGGGUGCGUAGGUGGCGCUGUAAGUCGGGUGUGAAAUUUCGGAGCUUAACUCCGAAACUGCAUUCGAUACUGCGGUGCUUGAGGACUGGAGAGGAGACUGGAAUUCAUGGUGUAGCAGUGAAAUGCGUAGAGAUCAUGAGGAAGACCAGUGGCGAAGGCGGGUCUCUGGACAGUUCCUGACACUGAGGCACGAAGGCCAGGGGAGCAAACGGG